ACCUUACUACUUGGAUAACUGUGGUAAUUCUAGAGCUAAUACAUGCAGCAGAGCUCCGACCCUCCGGGGAACGAGCGCUUUUAUUAGACCAAGACCAAUAGGGACCUCGUGUCCUUUUACUGGUGGUGACUCUGUAUAACUUUUGGCCGAUCGCACGGGCCUCGUCCCGGCGACGCAUCUUUCAAGUGUCUGCCUUAUCAACUGUCGAUGGUAGGUUACGCGCCUACCAUGGUCGUAACGGGUAACGGGGAAUCAGGGUUCGAUUCCGGAGAGGGAGCCUGAGAAACGGCUACCACAUCCAAGGAAGGCAGCAGGCGCGCAAAUAACCCACUCCCGGCACGGGGAGGUAGUGACGAAAAAUAACGAUACGGGACUCUUUCGAGACCCCGUAAUCGGAAUGAGUACACCCUAAAUCCUUUAACGAGGACCUAUUGGAGGGCAAGCCUGGUGCCAGCAGCUGCGGUAAUUCCAGCUCCAAUAGCGUAUAUUAAAGCUGUUGCGGUUAAAAAGCUCGUAGUUGGAUCUCAGUUCCAGACGGGCGGUCCGCCUAACGGCGGUCACUGCUCGGCCUGAACAACCGGCCGGUUUCUCGGGAUGAUCUUCGCUGGUUGUCUCGAGCGACCGGCGCGUUUACUUUGAAAAAAUUAGAGUGCUCAGAGCAGGCGCACUUAGGCCUGAAUAAUGGUGCAUGGAAUAAUGGAAUAGGACCUCGGUUCUAUUUUGUUGGUCUUCGGAACGUCGAGGUAAUGAUUAAGAGGGACGGACGGGGGCAUUCGUAUUGCGACGCUAGAGGUGAAAUUCUUGGACCGUCGCAAGACGAACUACUGCGAAAGCAUUUGCCAAGAAUGUUUCCGUUAAUCAAGAACGAAAGUUAGAGGUUCGAAGGCGAUCAGAUACCGCCCUAGUUCUAACCAUAAACGAUGCCGACCAGCGAUCCGCCUGGGUUCCUCAAAUGACUCGGCGGGCAGCUUCCGGGAAACCAAAGUGUUUGGGUUCCGGGGGAAGUAUGGUUGCAAAGCUGAAACUUAAAGGAAUUGACGGAAGAGCACCACAAGGAGUGGAGUCUGCGGCUCAAUUUGACUCAACACGGGAAAACUUACCCGGCCCGGACACCGGAAGGAUUGACAGAUUAAGAGCUCUUUCUUGAUUCGGUGGGUGGUGGUGCAUGGCCGCUCUUAGUUGGUGGAGCGAUCUGUCUGGUUAAUUCCGAUAACGAGCGCGACUCUAGCCUGCUAAAUAGACGUUCCGAUCUCGCACGCGAGUCGGACGUUCUUCUUAGAGGGACGGGCAGCGUUCAGCCGCACGAGACGGAGCAAUAGCAGGUCUGUGAUGCCCUUAGAUGUCCGGGGCCGCACGCGCGCUACACUGAAGGAAUCAGCGUGUGAUUUCCCUGUCCGGAAGGACUGGGUAACCCGUUGAAACUCCUUCGUGAUAGGGACAGGAGUUUGUAACUGUCCUCCUCGAACGAGGAAUUCCUAGUAAGCGCGAGUCAUAAACUUGCGUUGAUUAGGUCCCUGCUCUUUGUCCACACCGCCCGUCGCUACUACUGAUUGAGCGAUUUAGUGAGGUCUUCGGACCGACGAUCGGAGCGUCGCAUUCGUGGCGUGCCGACUCGCUGGAAAGAUGACCGAACUU
rnacentral:rRNA from 1 species